rnacentral:rRNA from 1 species
GGAUAACUCCGGGAAACCGGAGCUAAUACCGGAUAACACCGAAGACCGCAUGGUCUUUGGUUGAAAGGCGGCCUUUGGCUGUCACUUGCGGAUGGGCCCGCGGCGCAUUAGCUAGUUGGUGAGGUAACGGCUCACCAAGGCGACGAUGCGUAGCCGGCCUGAGAGGGUGACCGGCCACACUGGGACUGAGACACGGCCCAGACUCCUACGGGAGGCAGCAGUAGGGAAUCUUCCGCAAUGGGCGAAAGCCUGACGGAGCGACGCCGCGUGAGCGAAGAAGGCCUUCGGGUCGUAAAGCUCUGUUGUGAGGGACGAAGGAGCGCCGUUCGAAGAGGGCGGCGCGGUGACGGUACCUCACGAGGAAGCCCCGGCUAACUACGUGCCAGCAGCCGCGGUAAUACGUAGGGGGCGAGCGUUGUCCGGAAUUAUUGGGCGUAAAGCGCGCGCAGGCGGUCCCUUAAGUCUGAUGUGAAAGCCCACGGCUCAACCGUGGAGGGUCAUUGGAAACUGGGGGACUUGAGUGCAGGAGAGGAGAGCGGAAUUCCACGUGUAGCGGUGAAAUGCGUAGAGAUGUGGAGGAACACCAGUGGCGAAGGCGGCUCUCUGGCCUGCAACUGACGCUGAGGCGCGAAAGCGUGGGGA